GAUUUUGACGGAAAGUUGGAGGAGUUGAUGUUUGGGCUGUGAGGAAGCUAAGGAGCAAGAAGAAGAACCUGGUAAAGCUGAAACCUGAGGAUUGAGGCUCGAGCUUGGGAUUGAUCGCGUGGAAACCUAAUUGAGGGUAAAACCGACGCAUUGGAAAGCUCGGAUUGACGUUCCGACGAGCCUACGGCAAGCUAGUGAGGAAAAAUCUCAUUUCAGCUUCGUUUGUCGCGAGCGAGGAUUGCGAUCGUUCAUAAAUCGCGAGAAGUGGAUUUCUCAUAUUCCGGUGUUAUUUAAAGAUUCACACGCGAGUGGCGCGGUGGCGCGAGAAAGGGGCGUAGUUCCGUAGAUAGCGCCCUACUACCGAGACCAGAGAUAGGGGUACCCCGAAGUGGUCUAGCUAAGGGUAUAAAAGGAAAAUAACAAACUUGUGGUAAUUUGUAAUAACUUAAUGGUAUUUGAAAGUUGUAAUAUGUGAAAACUGU